UACAGAGGUCUCAAGCGUUGUUCGGAUUCAUUGGGCGUAAAGGGUGCGUAGGCGGCGGGGUCAGUCGGGUGUGAAAUCUUGGGGCUUAACCCCGAAACGGCACUCGAAACUGUCCGGCUGGAGGGCCGGAGAGGAGAUCGGAAUUCACGGUGUAGCAGUGAAAUGCGUAGAGAUCGUGAGGAAGACCCGUGGCGAAGGCGGAUCUCUGGACGGCUAACUGACGCUGAGGCGCGAAGGCCAGGGGAGCAAACGGG
rnacentral:rRNA from 1 species